UCCUUAAUCGUCCAGCCACUCCCUCCUCCCUCUCUGCGGACAACUUUAUCAACCACUUUGAAAAGAAGGGUGAUGACAUCAGCUCAUUCCCUCAGCCUAUCCACUGGUCCUACUCACGCAGAACUACCGUAAGCCUUGACCUCUUUAUCCCCUCUCUCUCCAGAUUAAGUCCUGCGACUAGUGAGGUCCGGCCACCUGACAACCUGCCCGCUCAACCCAAUCCCCUCCUCCCUUCCCCAGACCAUCCCUGGAGACCUCCCACUCCUCACUUCCCUAAUCAACUCACUGGCUGCGUCUCCUCUGAGUCUCUCCCCUCCACAAGAAAUCAAUGUUCGACCCCUCUGACAUCAAAAACGACUGACAGUGAACCAUCAGAUCCUCCUCUUCACCCUCUCAGGGCUGGGCGUCUCAGGGUCUGUAGGAUUACAUCCUACCUGGCAGACUGCUCCUAUCAGGUGGUGAUACACGUCUCUGCGUGUCUGGCAGAUAUCUCAGCUUAGAUGUCGGCCCACCACUUCAAGCUCAACCUCGACAACAUGGAGCUGCUCUUUCUUCCGAGGAAGGCCUGCCCGCUCCAUCACGGUUGACAACUCUGUUGCAACUCACUGUUGGCUGGGCUCCCCGCUUGUGCAUUAAACCCCUGCAACUUAUCCAGAACGCUGCAGCCCAACUAGUGUUCAACCGUACCAAAUUCUCCCAUGUCACCCCGCUCCUCCACACACUCCACUGGAUUCCAGUUGAAGCUCGCAUCCACUACAAGGCAAUGAUACCUGCCAACUGAGCAGCAAGAUAUACCGGCCAUCGCAUCGGUGUUGUCGCAUCGGUGAAGUCGUACCCACAGCAACUAUUAAAACAUUCACAAACCAGAAACCGUGGAUUGAUGGCAGCAUUCGCCCGAAACUGAAAGCGCGAACCAUUGCUUUUAAUCAGGUCAAGGUG